rnacentral:rRNA from 1 species
AUACGUAGGGGGCGAGCGUUGUCCGGAAUGACUGGGCGUAAAGGGCGUGUAGGCGGCGGUGUAAGUCUGGAGUGAAAGUCCCGCAUUCAAUGUGGGAAUUGCUUUGGAUACUGCAGUGCUAGAGUGCGGAAGAGGUAAGUGGAAUUCCCAGUGUAGCGGUGAAAUGCGUAGAUAUUAGGAGGAAUACCAGUGGCGAAGGCGACUUUCUGGACUUAUACUGACGCUGAGGAACGAAAGCGUGGGGAGCAAACAGGAUUAGAUACCCUGGUAGUCCACGCCGUAAACGAUGAGUGCUAGGUGUUGGGGGUCAAACCUCGGUGCCGCAGCUAACGCAUUAAGCACUCCGCCUGGGGAGUACGUACGCAAGUAUGAAACUCAAAUGAAUUGGCGGGG